GCAUGCCUGUUCGAGCGUCAUUUCAACCCUCAAGCCCUGCUUGGUGUUGGGGCCCUACGGUCGACGUAGGCCCUUAAAGGUAGUGGCGGACCCUCCCGGAGCCUCCUUUGCGUAGUAACUUAACGUCUCGCACUGGGAUCCGGAGGGACUCUUGCCGUAAAACCCCCAAAACUUUUACAGGUUGACCUCGGAUCAGGUAGGAAUACCCGCUGAACUUAAGCAUAUCAAUAAGCGGAGGAAAAGAAACCAACAGGGAUUGCCCCAGUAACGGCGAGUGAAGCGGCAACAGCUCAAAUUUGAAAUCUNGNCCCCAGGCCCGAGUUGUAAUUUGCAGAGGAUGCUUUUGGCGCGGUGCCUUCCGAGUUCCCUGGAACGGGACGCCAUAGAGGGUGAGAGCCCCGUACGGUUGGACACCAAGCCUUUGUAAAGCUCCUUCGACGAGUCGAGUAGUUUGGGAAUGCUGCUCAAAAUGGGAGGUAUAUUUCUUCUAAAGCUAAAUAUAGGCCGGAGACCGAUAGCGCACAAGUAGAGUGAUCGAAAGAUGAAAAGCACUUUGAAAAGAGGGUUAAACAGCACGUGAAAUUGUUAAAAGGGAAGCGCUUGUGACCAGACUUGCGUCCGGCGAAUCACCCAGCUCUCGCGGCUGGGGCACUUCGCCGGCACAGGCCAGCAUCAGCUUGCCGUCGGGGACAAAAGCUUCAGGAACGUAGCUCUCUUCGGGGAGUGUUAUAGCCUGUUGCAUAAUACCUUCGGCGGGCUGAGGUACGCCGUCCGCAAGGAUGCUGGCGUAAUGGUCAUCAGCGACCCGUCUUGAAACACGGACCAAGGAGUCAACCUUAUGUGCGAGUGUUUGGGUGUUAAACCCCUACGCGUAAUGAAAGU
rnacentral:rRNA from 1 species